AAGUAAGGCAAUCUGUCUUUAAGUAGGAAUAAAUUACUCUAAAAAAGGAAUCCUAUCUAGAUAGUUUUCCCUUCAAGCCAAGCAUCUUGU
rnacentral:pre_miRNA from 1 species